AGGGGAGUAGCUCAAUUGGUAGAGCGUCGGUCUCCAAAACCGAAUGCUGCGGGUUCAAGUCCUGUCUCCCCUGCCA
rnacentral:tRNA from 1 species